UAAACUUUGUAUCUCUCUUAGCACCCUUCAUAGAUUCUGCACACAAUUUAUCAAUUAACAGACUAUGUGUACUUUAUUAUAAACUAUAUUAUCAUCUAUAACAUAAUAGCUAGAGCCUGAUAGAUUCUAUAAAUAAAUGGUUGUUUUAUAAAUAAAUAUAAAUAAACUGAAUUGACUCAGUUCCAUCUUUUAUAGUGUCUAGUUCUCUGUUGUGCUUAUAGUAAUUAUUUUGCACAUGGGUCUCCCUGGGAAAGAUAUUUGAGUAUGAUUAUGGAUUGUUACAUGUGACUCAGGAAAAGAGUCAUAUUUUCUUAGUAGAAGAAUAAUGCCAUCUUAAAAAUGAAAUACACACAGGGAAAUCACAGUCAGGCAGUAUCCUCCCAUCUACUAUCUAGGAACUCAGCAACAGAUCAACCCAGAUUUUUUUUUUUCCCCUUUCUUUUCAGAGUGGGUGGAGCCUAAGAAUUAAAAUGACAUUCAGGUGCCUAUCAAUGACUGUUCUUCUGUGACAGCUGAAACCAGAGAACAACUGCUCUCCUGAUUAAUUCAAAGCUCUCGGCAGAGCACAAAGACCAGUCUACGGGAUGGAAACUCAAGUACAUCGUUACAAGGAGCAGAGCUUUCGGGGACCUCAUAAAUUUCUCCUGCCAUGGUCAGUUCUACCUGAUGGACUUGGGAAUUCCACACCUCUCAGGUCCAUGUCAUCCGAUGUAUCUCCUCCUGAGGCUGAUAUUUGAUUACCAUACUCGGGAAAGAAACUCCUGAGCGACCCAACUCCAAGCUGACCUCACCAACCCCCCAUGCUUUAGCUGUCAUGUGGGAACAGUUGAUGGGGAAAGGGCCACCAUGCUUUCUCCAUCCCUCCAGGAAGAGGCUUGAAGGAUAUGCACAUGCUGUAUAGCCAAGAAAAAAGAUAGAAGCUGAGGGUGAUUAGCUCCAGUUUAAAAUUAAACAGAAUGCGGCAGCUAGAUGGGCAGUAGAUUACUAGUCCGGAAGUCAGGAGAAACUGAGUUCAAAUGUGGACUCAGACACUUAACACUUAGUAGCUGAAUGAUCUUGAGCAAGUCACUUAACCCCAAUUGCCUUGCAAAAUAAAUUUUUUAAAAAGUCAGACCAAA